rnacentral:tRNA from 1 species
UUGACCGUAGUUCAAAAAGAACAUUUUGCUGUUAACAAAAAAGUCUGUGUAGUCAAA